UCUGUAGCGCCAUCUCCCCUUAUUACACCUCCAUACGGCACACAGUAUCAUGUUAGACUGUGAUAUCGCCUGUGAUUAAUUUAUUGAUUUUCUCGAUUAAGUGAAAAAUGAAAGAUCUAUGGUGGGAGUGUCACGUAGUAGCAAUAUCUUUGUUUUGUGCAAAGGCAAUUGGAUGGAAUCGCGUUUACAUCAAGCCGAUGGAGUUGUCAUUCUGUGUCUGAAAAUGUAAAUAUUUGUGAUAAACAAAUGCGACUAUGGAUUUUUUCAUAUUAUGGCAUUGAACACUCAUGCUGAUGACUGCACAACACUUCAUACGUGGUACUUCAACACUUUUAAAUGGAUCCCUGUGCUCUUCAUAUUUACGAUCGUCGUGCAUGCGACUGGUUGUAUUAUGCACACGUACUUCUGAUGUGUAUAUGUGCAGUUGCAUACAUCCGACAUACCGUGCCAUAGACAACUGAAAGCGACCAAUAUCUCUGUGGUCAUGAAAGGUGUACAAGCAGCCUGAAGAUGUCACAAAGACCCAAGGAAACUAGUUACGAACAAAGAGAGAGAAACAGAGAACGGAUGAGGCGUUAUCGUGCAACACGAACUGCAGAGCAGGCAACCAUUGACCGCCAGAGACAUGCUCAGUAUGCUAAAAUACGUCGUGAGAACAUGUCACCAACUUCCAGGGCACAAAUGAGGCAGCGGGCUUGUUUACGGGCCAGGGAAAAGAGGGCUUCAUUAUCUGAUGAAGAAAAAGCUGUAUGGCGUGCAAAAAAUGCAGAAUAUCAAAAGCUUAGACGAUCGCGAUUGUCUGCUGAAGAGAGAGACAGAGUUAGGAGACGCAAUGCAGAAAGAACAAGAGCAAAGAGAGCUGUAAAUGCUGCACAGCCGUCUGUGGACACUGAUUACUCCAACCAGUAUGCAAGUAUGGUAGUACAGUCAGAUCCUGGAAAGAAUGAUAUUUGGGAACAAUCUGAUUUUAUACACCCAAGUUUUGCAAUGCCAACUGAUGAUUUUGACUAUUUUCCUUUCAAUUUAAAGACUGAAAAUCAUGACGACUGUGAGGGGAACCAGUUUUGGAACUGUUUUGGCCUUAUGAGGCAUGUUAAUUCUGAUGACGUCAGAGUCAGGUGUGAGCCUUUGCCAACAGACCCAUUUUAUUAUUCAUAUUGAGAUGGUUGUAUUGGCUGUGCUUAGAGUUCACACCAUGUCAUUAAAGUUUAAUAGACAUCGUAUACAGUAUUGUGUCAUUUGUGACAAACAGAACUGGUGGAUUUUCUGUGGGUUACAUCUAGAACAAAAUGAUGAAAACUGUUUCCUGUUCAGAGUGAAAUAUAGUUAAUUGUGUUUUCUGUAAAUUUUUAUACUGCAAAUUAAAUUAGUGAAUUGAAUGUGAAACCUGAUAAUUGCAUAACUGUUUUGUGGUGAGAAGGGUGAGCAGUGGUCUUGGUUAUCUACACUGUUAGAUUGUCGUGUCAACUGAAAGUAAAUGUAACAAUAGAUUUUAUGGUUCUGAAGGAAGAUUAAUGGUGGACUACAGAGUGACAACUGGAUUAGCAUGUUAGUGGCAAACGAUGCAACUUUCAACUCAACAACAAGAUAAGUGUAGAUGGUACUCAAAACUCACCGCUGAUGACACACUCCUGCGUGCUUCAGUAAUGGAACUAGUUGAUGUGUAAGAAUUGACCACAGCGCCACCGUUUGCAGACUCGUCAUACUCGCAGAAGUAGUGGGAAGGAGAGAAGCCAGUACUUUGAUUUCUAAUGCAUUUCAACCAUGUGCUACAGCAUCCUGAGGAGCAUUCUGAGGUCACUGUGGUGUUGGCAAUCUACUGUUGUGUCGGACCUUGCAGACUUCCAGUGGGAGCUAAUGAAUUGUCAGUGUCAGCUUACUUGGUGCAUCCUGAAUCAGUGUAAAUCUACUAGGAUUACAUAGAACUGUUAUGUUUAGUGUCAUGAUAGAGUAGAAGAAAACUCAAAAUUAAUGACAGAGAUGGGAGAGCAUUAGAGAAGAUUACUAACUGUUUUAAGAUUAUUGUCAUGAUAGUAAUUGCCAAGCUUAAUAUGCAUCCAGAAAAUGCAUUGUCCACAAAAGCUGUACAACAGCACACAGACAUCAUUCAUGGCAGAGCUGCUUGUUCCAAAUCUAUUGUAAACCAGAUGAACAUUAAUGUUGGAGUAUAGUUCAAGGAGCACAGAACCUGGGCUACCAUUCAGUGGAAACAUUCGAUGUAGUCCACCAAGCUUUCUUUUACCCCAUACCCCACUACAGUACAUGUAGAUUUAAGGAGAAAACCAGAGGUUGUGUUCAAUCUACACUCCUCUACCAACUGUGAAGUGUGGUGGCAGUUAUCUAAUGACUUAGAGGUCACAUUAUGGUUUAAAAAGAUAUCUUAUGGUUGCAUUGAAAGGAAAUGAAACACAUUUAGAUUAUCUGUGAUGUAUAUAUCUAGUUUAUUCAAUGGCAAAAACAUUUUUUCCAGCUUGGGACUGGCAUUUCCAACACUGUGGUGCUUGUUCAUCCAGGUUUAUCAAAACUUGUUUGGAUGAGCAAGUGUAUGAAGUAACACAAUUUUCCUGGGCUCAGCACUCACCAUAUUGCAAUAUUUUUGAAUGGUUGUGGUCUUUAUUGAAAAAGCUGUUAAAAGCCACUUACACCCUUCCAGCACACCUCAAAGAACUGUAAUAAUUUCUUUGUGGGGAACUGCAUGAAGUUCCAUCAACCACCUGCAGUAUUUAGGAUUUAUAUGCAGUUCAAGCUAUUCUGCAUGCAAAAUAUGUCCUUACAACAAUUUGGUGGCUGUUUAUAUUGUUUAUUGUUUUGUUUGACAUGGGUAUGUUGAUGCAUUUUUG